AUUGCUUCUUGGCCUUUUGGCUAAGGUCCAGCAUAGUAUCUGCAUCAGUUUAAUAACUGAUAUGUCCUUUAACUGAGGACAAUAUAUUAAAUGGGUUUCAGGAACAGAGAGAUGGAUAUACUUUCUCCCUCCACUGCACACACUGACCUCUCAGAGGUAUUGGACUACCUCUGAGAAUAGGGUACCCCCU
ensembl:snRNA Gm23517 U2 spliceosomal RNA